rnacentral:rRNA from 1 species
UACGUAGGCAGCAAGCGUUUGUUCGGAGUUACUGGGCGUAAAGGGUGUGUAGGCGGUUCUUUAAGUUUGGUGUGAAAUCUCCCGGCUCAACCGGGAGGGUGCGCCGAAUACUGAGGGACUAGAGUGCGGGAGAGGAAAGUGGAAUUCCUGGUGUAGCGGUGAAAUGCGUAGAUAUCAGGAGGAACACCGGUGGUGUAGACGGCUUUCUGGACCGUAACUGACGCUGAGACACGAAAGCGUGGGUAGCAAACAGG